GAUGAACGCUGGCGGCGUGCCUAAUACAUGCAAGUCGAGCGAACGGACGAGAAGCUUGCUUCUCUGAUGUUAGCGGCGGACGGGUGAGUAACACGUGGAUAACCUACCUAUAAGACUGGGAUAACUUCGGGAAACCGGAGCUAAUACCGGAUAAUAUUUUGAACCGCAUGGUUCAAAAGUGAAAGACGGUCUUGCUGUCACUUAUAGAUGGAUCCGCGCUGCAUUAGCUAGUUGGUAAGGUAACGGCUUACCAAGGCAACGAUGCAUAGCCGACCUGAGAGGGUGAUCGGCAACACUGGAAGUGAGCCACGGCCGAGACUCCUCCGGGGGGGAGCAGUGGGGAAUCUUCCGCAAGGGGCGAAAGCCGGACGGAGCAACGCCGCGUGAGGGAUGAAGGUCUUGGGAUCUAAAAACUCUUUUAUUGGGGAAAAACAUAUGUGUAAGUACCUGUGCACAUCUUGAGGGUACAUAAUAAAAAAGCCACGGCUAACUCCGUC
rnacentral:rRNA from 1 species